rnacentral:ncRNA from 1 species
CUGUUACUUAACAUACACAUGCAAGCAUCCACUCCCCUGUGAAAACGCCCUUUUACUCCUUUUAGGAACAAGGAGCUGGUAUCAGGCACGAAAAUCUGCCCAAAACACCUAGCUUUGCCACACCCACAAGGGAAUUCAGCAGUGAUUAACAUUGAGCAUGAGCGAAAGCUUGACUCAGUCAAAGUAAAACAGAGCCGGCUAAUCUGGUGCCAGCCGCCGCGGUUACACCACGUGGCUCAAACUGAUUUUUUCCGGCGUAAAGCGUGAUUAAAGUCUCUGAACACUAGAGUUAAACUAAAACCGAGCUGUGACACGCCCGUUAUCAAGAAACUCAAAAACGAAAGUUACUCUAACACAACCUACUUGAAUUCACGACAGCUGGAAAACAAACUGGGAUUAGAUACCCCACUAUGCCCAGCCAUAAACUUUUAUUUACACCACAAAUCGCCAGGGAACUACAAGCCAAGCUUAAAACCCAAAGGACUUGACGGUACCCCACAUCCUCCUAGAGGAGCCUGUCCUAUAAUCGAUAAUCCACGUUUAACCUCACCAUUUUUAGUAAAUCAGCCUGUAUACCUCCGUCGUCAGCUUACCACGUGAGCGUUCAUUAGUGAGCCAAAUGUUACUCCACCCACACGUCAGGUCAAGGUGCAGCAAAUGAAAUGGGAAGAGAUGGGCUACACUUUCUACAUUAGAAAAGACGAAAGACUAUUUAUGAAACCUAGUUAGAAGGCGGAUUUAGCAGUAAAAAGGAAUUAGCAUGUCCAUUUUAACCUGGCACUGGGGUGUGUACACACCGCCCGUCACCCUCUUCAAAGCUAUAAAAAAGUUUUUAACUAACUAAUGCACAAUAGAAGAGGCAAGUCGUAACAUGGUAAGUAUACCGGAAGGUGUGCUUGGAAA